rnacentral:sRNA from 12 species
CCUUUGGAGUGUUAUAGCAAACAAGAGUAGUUAGUUUGAUUGAACGAUGAAAUUGGACACAGUGAAAAAGGAA